AGAGUUUGAUCCUGGCUCAGGAUGAACGCUAGCGGCAGGCCUAACACAUGCAAGUCGAGGGGCAGCACAGGUAGCAAUACCGGGUGGCGACCGGCGCACGGGUGAGUAACGCGUAUGCAACCUGCCCUCCGCAGGGGGAUAGCCCGCCGAAAGGCGGAUUAAUACCCCAUCGCCCCGUUGUCCGGCAUCGGACGGCGGGUAAAGGAGCGAUCCGGCGGGGGAUGGGCAUGCGUGCCAUUAGCUUGUUGGCGGGGUAACGGCCCACCAAGGCGACGAUGGCUCGGGGGUCUGAGAGGAUGGUCCCCCACACUGGUACUGAGACACGGACCAGACUCCUACGGGAGGCAGCAGUGAGGAAUAUUGGUCAAUGGGCGGAAGCCUGAACCAGCCAUGCCGCGUGCAGGAAGACGGCCCUACGGGUUGUAAACUGCUUUUCCGGGGGAAGAAUAAGGCCCAUGCGUGGGCCGAUGCCGGUACCCCGGGAAUAAGGAUCGGCUAACUCCGUGCCAGCAGCCGCGGUAAUACGGAGGGUGCAAGCGUUGUUCGGAUUUAUUGGGCGUAAAGCGCGUGUAGGCGGUUUCUUAAGUCUGAUGUGAAAGCCCUGGGCUCAACCCAGGAAGUGCAUUGGAUACUGGGAGACUUGAAUACGGGAGAGGGUAGUGGAAUUCCUAGUGUAGGAGUGAAAUCCGUAGAUAUUAGGAGGAACACCGGUGGCGAAGGCGGCUACCUGGACCGAUAUUGACGCUGAGACGCGAAAGCGUGGGUAGCAAACAGGAUUAGAUACCCUGGUAGUCC
rnacentral:rRNA from 1 species